ensembl:lncRNA
UUUCUUUCUGGAGAUUGCUCCUCCUGGAGUUUUUCCUGUGAGCCUAUGAUACAGCUUUCUGUAUAUGGGAAAAGCCUCUGAUGACACCAAAACUCUCUGAAACAGAAAGUUGAGCAGAUUCAGCUUUGAUUCUAUUGAGACUUCAACUGAUUUGAAAGAAAGUCAGCAGUUCCACUAUACUUCUCUGCAGAUGCAUGAGGAAUAACCUAUGUACGUAUAUUAAGGGACCCAAACUAGGUGCAGCUGCUGAAAUGCAUUGUUUUGUCUUUAUGUGUGUAAGAGAAUUAAACUGUAAAAUAGUAACAAUAUUUACAGAAGAUUUUUGGAGAAUCAGAACUUACUGCACUUGAAUGACUUGUUGAUAUGUUCUGACUUAUGAGUGAUCCUGAGUGGAGCCAGGAGUUGGACUCGAUCCUUGUGAGUCCCUUCCAACUUGAGAUAUUCUAUGCUUCUAUCAUACCCAACAAAAGCAUGCAGUAAGGGCUGCAGAUACUCAGGCCAAAUGAUUUACAGCUUUUGAAAUUAGUGACUCAUCUCAGUAGUCCAUUCAGAUUUGUGCAUGUAAGGAAAGUCUUAAAACACACAGUUGUUCACCUAUGAGAAUAAUUUAGAAGUAUUUGCUGUGGUGCUUUACUUGAAGAAUUGUCCAAUAAAGAACUGAGUGGAUAGGUUUUUUAAGGU